rnacentral:rRNA from 1 species
GACGUAGGGGACGAGCGUUGUCCGGAUUCAUUGGGCGUAAAGAGCGCGUAGGCGGCCACGCAAGUCGGUUGUGAAAACCCGGGGCUCAACCCCGGGCCUGCAUCCGAUACUGCGUGGCUAGAGGUAGGUAGGGGAGAUCGGAAUUCCUGGUGUAGCGGUGAAAUGCGCAGAUAUCAGGAGGAACACCGGUGGCGAAGGCGGAUCUCUGGGCCUUACCUGACGCUGAGGCGCGAAAGCUAGGGGAGCGAACAGG